rnacentral:tRNA from 1 species
GCGUCGGUGGUUCAGUGGUAGAAUACUCGCCUGCCACGCGGGUGGCCCGGGUUCGAUUCUUGGCCGACGCA